GCACCACAAGGCGUGAAGCGUGCGGUUCAAUUGGACUCAACGCCGGAAAACUUACCAGGGGAGACAGCAGAAUGCCGGUCAGGUUGACGACCUUACCUAACGAGCUGAGAGGAGGUGCAUGGCCGUCGCCAGUUCGUGCUGUGAGGUAUCCUGUUAAGUCAGGCAACGAACGAGAUCCGCGCCUUUAUUUGCCAGCAAGAAGUCACGACUUCGUUGGGAACACUAAAGGGACCGCCGUCGAUAAGACGGAGGAAGGAGCGGGCAAAGGCAGGUCAGUAUGCCUCGAAACCCCUGGGCUACACGCGGGCUGCAAUGAUAUGAACAAUGGGCAGUAACUCCGAAAGGAGAAACCAAUCCCGAAAUCAUAUCUCAGUGGGGAUUGUCGGCUGUAACCCGCUGACAUGAACGUGGAAUCCCUAGUAAUCGUGUGUCAUCAUCGCACGGUGAAUACGUCUCUGCUCCUUGCACACACCGCCCGUCGCUCCAUCCGAGUGUGCUAAAAAUGAGGUCUGGUCAGAAUGGUCAUAUCGAGUUUCUAGUAUGCGAGGAGGGAG
rnacentral:rRNA from 1 species